AGUGAACGCUGGCGGUAGGCCUAACACGUGCAAGUCGAACGGCAGCACAGUAAGAGCUUGCUCUUACGGGUGGCGAGUGGCGGACGGGUGAGGAAUACAUCGGAAUCUACUUUUUCGUGGGGGAUAACGUAGGGAAACUUACGCUAAUACCGCAUACGACCUACGGGUGAAAGCAGGGGAUCUUCGGACCUUGCGCGAUUGAAUGAGCCGAUGUCGGAUUAGCUAGUUGGCGGGGUAAAGGCCCACCAAGGCGACGAUCCGUAGCUGGUCUGAGAGGAUGAUCAGCCACACUGGAACUGAGACGCGGUCCAGACUCCUACGGGAGGCAGCAGUGGGGAAUAUUGGACAAUGGGCGCAAGCCUGAUCCAGCCAUACCGCGUGGGUGAAGAAGGCCUUCGGGUUGUAAAGCCCUUUUGUUGGGAAAGAAAAGCAGCAGGUUAAUACCACGCUGUUCUGACGGUACCCAAAGAAUAAGCACCGGCUAACUUCGU
rnacentral:rRNA from 1 species